rnacentral:rRNA from 1 species
CCUACACGACCGUACCGCAAACCGACACUGGUGCGCGAGAUGAGUAUUCUAAGGCGCUUGAGAGAACUCAGGAGAAGGAACUCGGCAAAUUGACACCGUAACUUCGGAAGAAGGUGUGCCUUUAGUAGGUGAACCAUUUACUUGGGGAGCCCAAUGAGGCUGCAAAAAAUCGGUGGCUGCAACUGUUUAUUAAAAACACAGCACUCUGCUAAGACGAAAGUCGACGUAUAGGGUGUGACGCCUGCCCGGUGCUGGAAGAUUAAAUGAUGGGGUGCAAGCUCUUGAUUGAAGUCCCAGUAAACGGCGGCCGUAACUAUAACGGUCCUAAGGUAGCGAAAUUCCUUGUCGGGUAAGUUCCGACCUGCACGAAUGGCGUAAUGAUGGCCACACUGUCUCCUCCUGAGACUCAGCGAAGUUGAAAUGUUUGUGAUGAUGCAAUCUCCCCGCGGAAAGACGGAAAGACCCCAUGAACCUUUACUGUAGCUUUGUAUUGGACUUUGAACAGAUCUGUGUAGGAUAGGUGGGAGGCUUUGAAGUGUGGUCGCUAGAUCGCAUGGAGCCAACGUUGAAAUACCACCCUGGUGUGUUUGAGGUUCUAACCUAGGUCCAUUAUCUGGAUCGGGGACAGUGCAUGGUAGGCAGUUUGACUGGGGCGGUCUCCUCCCAAAGUGUAACGGAGGAGUUCGAAGGUACGCUAGGUACGGUCGGACAUCGUGCUAAUAGUGCAAUGGCAUAAGCGUGCUUAACUGCGAGACUGACAAGUCGAGCAGAUGCGAAAGCAGGACAUAGUGAUCCGGUGGUUCUGUAUGGAAGGGCCAUCGCUCAACGGAUAAAAGGUACUCUGGGGAUAACAGGCUGAUACCGCCCAAGAGUUCAUAUCGACGGCGGUGUUUGGCACCUCGAUGUCGGCUCAUCUCAUCCUGGGGCUGUAGUCGGUCCCAAGGGUAUGGCUGUUCGCCAUUUAAAGAGGUACGUGAGCUGGGUUUAAAACGUCGUGAGACAGUUUGGUCCCUAUCUUCCGUGGGCGCUGCAGAUUUGAGGAAGCCUGCUCCUAGUACGAGAGGACCGGAGUGGACGAACCUCUGGUGUAUCGGUUGUCACGCCAGUGGCAUUGCCGAGUAGCUAAGUUCGGAAGAGAUAACCGCUGAAAGCAUCUAAGCGGGAAACUCGUUUCAAGAUUAGAUCUGCCGGGGCCUUGAGCCCCCUAAAGAGUCGUUCAAGACCAGGACGUUGAUAGGUCAGGUGUGGAAGUG